ACAGAGGUCUCAAGCGUUGUUCGGAUUCAUUGGGCGUAAAGGGUGCGUAGGCGGGUCUUUAAGUCAGGGGUGAAAUCCUGGAGCUCAACUCCAGAACUGCCUUUGAUACUGAAGAUCUUGAGUUCGGGAGAGGUGAGUGGAACUGCGAGUGUAGAGGUGAAAUUCGUAGAUAUUCGCAAGAACACCAGUGGCGAAGGCGGCUGACUGGUCCGGUUCUGACGCUGAGGCGCGAAAGCGUGGGGAGCAAACAGGA
rnacentral:rRNA from 1 species